rnacentral:rRNA from 1 species
UACGGGGGAUGCGAGCGUUGUCCGGAAUCAUUGGGCGUAAAGAGUUCGUAGGUGGUUUGUUAAGUUAGGUGUUAAAUGCAAAGGCUCAACCUUUGUUUGGCACUUGAUACUGGCAGACUUGAAUGCGGUAGAGGUAAAGGGAAUUCCUGGUGUAGCGGUGAAAUGCGUAGAUAUCAGGAGGAACAUCGGUGGCGAAAGCGCUUUACUGGGCCGUAAUUGACACUGAGGAACGAAAGCCAGGGUAGCAAAU